AUUGAACGCUGGCGGCAUGCUUUACACAUGCAAGUCGAACGGCAGCGCGGGCUUCGGCCUGGCGGCGAGUGGCGAACGGGUGAGUAAUGCAUCGGAACGUGCCCAGUAGUGGGGGAUAGCCCGGCGAAAGCCGGAUUAAUACCGCAUACGACCUGAGGGUGAAAGCGGGGGACCGAAAGGCCUCGCGCUAUUGGAGCGGCCGAUGUCGGAUUAGCUAGUUGGUGGGGUAAAGGCUUACCAAGGCGACGAUCCGUAGCUGGUCUGAGAGGACGGCCAGCCACACUGGGACUGAGACACGGCCCAGACUCCUACGGGAGGCAGCAGUGGGGAAUUUUGGACAAUGGGGGCAAACCUGAUCCAGCCAUGCCGCGUGCGGGAAGAAGGCCUUCGGGUUGUAAACCGCUUUUGUUCGGGAAGAAAUCCUCUGGGCUAAUACCCCGGGGGGAUGACGGUACCGGAAGAAUAAGCACCGGCUAACUACGUG
rnacentral:rRNA from 1 species